UACAGAGGGUGCAAGCGUUGUUCGGAAUUAUUGGGCGUAAAGCGCGUGUAGGCGGCUUGGCAAGUCGGGUGUGAAAGCCCUCAGCUCAACUGAGGAAGUGCGCCCGAAACUGCUUUGCUUGAGUGCUGGAGAGGGUCGCGGAAUUCCCCAAGUAGAGGUGAAAUUCGUAGAUAUGGGGAGGAACACCGGUGGCGAAGGCGGCGACCUGGGCAGUAACUGACGCUGAGACGCGAAAGCGUGGGUAGCAAACAGG
rnacentral:rRNA from 1 species